rnacentral:rRNA from 1 species
UGGGGAAUUGUUCGCAAUGGGCGCAAGCCUGACGACGCAACGCCGCGUGGAGGAUGAAGGUCUUCGGAUUGUAAACUCCUGUUGCUCGGGACGAAAAGCUUCAACCUAAUACGUUGAAGUCUGACGGUACCGAGUGAGGAAGCCCCGGCUAACUCUGUGCCAGCAGCCGCGGUAAUACAGAGGGGGCAAGCGUUGUUCGGAAUUACUGGGCGUAAAGGGCGCGUAGGUGGCCUGUUAAGUCGAACGUGAAAUCCCUGGGCUCAACCCAGGAACUGCGUCCGAGACUGAUAGGCUCGAAUCCGGGAGAGGGAUGUGGAAUUCCAGGUGUAGCGGUGAAAUGCGUAGAUAUCUGGAGGAACACCGGUGGCGAAGGCGACAUCCUGGACCGGUAUUGACGCUGAGGCGCGAAAGCCAGGGGAGCAAACGGG